rnacentral:rRNA from 1 species
UACGAAGGGUGCAAACGUUGCUCGGAAUUAUUGGGCGUAAAGCGCGCGUAGGCGGCUACUUAAGUCGGAUGUGAAAGCCCCCGGCUUAACCGGGGAGGGUCGUCGGGUACGGUCAGGCUUGAGGGCGGGAGAGGGUGGUGGAAUUCCCGGUGUAGUGGUGAAAUGCGUAGAGAUCGGGAGGAACACCUGUGGCGAAGGCGGCCACCUGGGCCGACACUGACGCUGAGGCGCGAAAGCCAGGGGAGCGAACGGG